GAUCGCUAUGACGACUCAAUAAAAUUCAAGCUCAACAGACCGGAAUGCAGGCUUCUUUCUUUUAAGAACCUUGCGUGUCGACAACCCCGCUGACCUGAGCGAUC